AGGCUUUAGGACUCUCAGCCCACCUCCCCCCACCUUUUUUUUCUUUAAAUCUAUCCAUCCUCUUCAGUCCUCUUGUUUAUACCCUAGCUCUCCCCCAUUUCCUCUCUUUUCCUCUCCAUAGACAGGAUAAGGAAAGCACAGCUGACCAGGCUCCCAGAAUUCCACUUUUACAGGGCCAACCACAAAGAAACAGAGACCACUCUCUUUUGGUACUAAUUUAAAAUCCUCAGGAGAGAACGUCUGAUUGGCCCAGCUUGAGUCAAGUAUCCGCCUCUGGCCCAAUUAGCUCUGAAGGGAGGGUGGGGUCAUGGGUAUAAAUACAGCUGCUGGACCAGCAAGAGCAAGUGCUCAGGGAAAGUGUGUGGGUGACCGGUAGGACCACUCAGUGUUUAUUAAUCCAACAAAAGAAAAGGGACAUGGGACCUGUCCCACUCGUGCUCAUAAUCUGGAGACAAAACCCACACAAGCAGGAAGACAAACCAUUAAAAUCAUUUAGUGCCAAUUACUAUGAGGAUAAAAACCAUGAUUAGAAUGAACUCUUAGGAAAUAACCAAAAUGGCCCAUCUUCAAUGGAACCGACAAAUACAAUAAGGAUGUGCAUAAAAUGGAACCCACAACACAGCAGUGAAAAUUAAUGAGCUGCAGCUACACACUUCAGUAUGGAGGAGUCUCAAAAGUAUAAUGAUGCAUGAAAAAAGCAAAACAGAAAAAUACAGACCAGAUGAUUUUACUUAUGUGAGGUUCAAAAAUGUGCAAAAUCAGACAAUACAUUAUAUAGGGUUAUAUAUGUAUAUGGUAAACUAUACAGAAAAAAAAGAGAAUGAUAGAUGAAAUGCAGCAUAGUGGUUACCCGUGAAGUGGAGAAUGGACAUGUGCUCAGGAAGAGAUCAACGGAGAGCUUCAAACUGUUUCCUUAUGUUAUGCUGGAGCCCUCAGUAGAUGCUGUUGAACAGUUGCUGUUUGCACUGUGCUUCGGAGAACCAUGAGGGGACUUUGGGGAAACAGAGGCAGCUGACGCUGACCAGGAGGAACAGGAGUGAAAGACAAUGAGAAAC
rnacentral:lncRNA from 1 species